AGCGAACGCUGGCGGCAGGCUUAACACAUGCAAGUCGAGCGGAAAGGCCCUUUCGGGGGUACUCGAGCGGCGAACGGGUGAGUAACACGUGAGUAAUCUGCCCUUCACUUUGGGAUAACCCCCGGAAACGGGAGCUAAUACCGGAUAUGACCGGCAACCGCAUGGUUUGUUGGUGGAAGCUUUUUUGGGUGGGGGAUGUGCUCGCGGCCUAUCAGCUUGUUGGUGGGGUAAUGGCCUACCAAGGCUUUGACGGGUAGCCGGCCUGAGAGGGUGACCGGACACACUGGGACUGAGACACGGCCCAGACUCCUACGGGAGGCAGCAGUGGGGAAUAUUGGACAAUGGGCGGAAGCCUGAUCCAGCAACGCCGCGUGAGGGAUGACGGCCUUCGGGUUGUAAACCUCUUUCAGCACCGACGAAGCGUGAGUGACGGUAGGUGCAGAAGAAGGACCGGCCAACUACGUGCCAGCCGCCGCAGUAACAC
rnacentral:rRNA from 1 species